UUUGAUCCUCUUUCUCAUGACUCCUCGGGGGAUAUGAUGACUCAGGGUGUUGCCCCUUGAGCAAAAGAACUGAGGAGGCAGCAGGUGUCAGGGAAUAGGCAAAGUUAACCCAAGUGAUUGGAUGAACUGGUAAGCAAUUGAUAAAACAGCCCUGUUUUCAAUUUUCCAAUAAGUGGCAUGUAAUCUAACUCUUUCUCACACCUGAAUAGGUAACACAUAUUUGAUUAUUCUUUCUGUACAGUUUUUAAAUUUAAUCUGGAACAAACUGUAAUUUCUUUGACAAUAAUAAUGAUAGUGAUUCAGGAAUAGCAGAAAUGGGUAAGGUUGGUAUUUCAGAUCAAGAAUGGAACCAUCAUCAGCAUGGCAGCUUUGUCCCUCUUUACCCUAAAAUGUUCAUGAUUUAAGAAAAUAUUUGGCAGCAGGAGAGAUUCCUUUCCUCAUUUAACUUGUUCUCAUAGAAUAGGGAAGUAUUGGUGGGGAUUCAGCUUAUGAUAUGAACCAUAUACUCUUAGAUGACACAUGUGAAAAUAGGCUUGUCUGGAUAGCAGUAUAGCAGCACCCCACAGUGUGGCCUGGACUCACCCUGAAAAUGCUAUGCUGACCUGUUGCCACGGUAAUGAUGAUGGACACCUUGCCUUCCAUUUCAACUGUCACUCUGUGAGCUGAGAGCAGUUAUUCCAUUACCACGGUGCUAGUGACGGUCCCCAGAGAUGGGAAACUGCUGUACAGGCUCUUGCCUCCUGGAUACAGAAAUAGUUCCUUCAAGGUCAAGACGAUCUAUUGCCCACUCCAACCAGUGCUGCAGAAGAGUCUCCCUGUGGCUGCUGGAAAGUGCACACCCUGGAGAGGAUGACGACGGAGAUUCCACUAAGGUCCUGAUGGAAGUUGCUCCCUGCAACACUACAGAGGAUGAGAAACAGUUUAUUGUCCAGGUGGAUUCCACAGCGAAUGGAAAUUUUCCCUCCAAGGUCUUGGUGGACUCAAUACCCCCAGACAGAGCAGAAGAGGAGGACCCACUGAAUGCCCUGGUGGACACCAGAAGAAUUGAUGAUGGUCAUAGCAUCGCUGUUGUUGCCCUGGUUCACACAGAUUCCGGUGUUCCAGAUUCUGAGGAUCAGACACAGGGAGCAGCAAUUGAUUCCCACAAUGACACCAGCGUGGACAAGGACUUGGGGUCCAGCGGCUCAGAGGACCUGGAGCUGCCAAAGGGCUGGGGAUGAGCAGCCUUUCCCUGGCCCUCCUCUCCAUAGUCACAUUACGAUCUGUUUGUUAAAGAACACUUUUGUGUGGAAGCUCUCCAGUUAAUGUUGGAUGUUUUAUUUUGUAAAUGUUAAAGGAUAUUUCAUGGCAUAUAAUUAAUGUUGGUUGUUUUAUAUUAAAUAAUAGUCUGCUACGACCAGUUGCUUUCAAACUUCUUCCUUUUUUUUUGGUACCAGGGAUUGAAUUUGGAACGUUUCGCUUGCAA
rnacentral:lncRNA from 1 species